CCUACGGGAGGCAGCAGUGAGGAAUAUUGGUCAAUGGACGAGAGUCUGAACCAGCCAAGUAGCGUGAAGGAUGACUGCCCUCUGGGUUGUAAACUUCUUUUUUAUGGGAAUAAAAUGUUCCACGUGUGGGAUUUUGUAUGUACCAUAUGAAUAAGGAUCGGCUAACACCGUCCCAGCAGCCGCGGUAAUAUGGAGGAUCCGAGCGUUAUCCGGUUUUAUUGGGUUUAAGGGAGCGUAGGUAGUUUGUUAAGUCAGGUGUGAAAGUUUGUGGCUUAACCGGAAAAUUGCAGUUGAAACUGGCAGUCUAGAGUACAGUAGAGGUGGGCGGAAUGCGUGGUGUAGCGGUGAAAUGCGUAGAUAUCACGAAGAACUCCGAUUGCGAAGGCAGUUCACUGGACUGCAACUGACACUGAGGCUCGAAAGUGUGGGUAUCAAACAGGAUUAGAUACCCGUGUAGUC
rnacentral:rRNA from 1 species